GAAGCAACGCGAAGAACCUUACCAAAUCUUGACAUCCUUUGACAACUCUAGAGAUAGAGCUUUCCCCUUCGGGGGACAAAGUGACAGGUGGUGCAUGGUUGUCGUCAGCUCGUGUCGUGAGAUGUUGGGUUAAGUCCCGCAACGAGCGCAACCCUUAAGCUUAGUUGCCAUCAUUAAGUUGGGCACUCUAAGUUGACUGCCGGUGACAAACCGGAGGAAGGUGGGGAUGACGUCAAAUCAUCAUGCCCCUUAUGAUUUGGGCUACACACGUGCUACAAUGGACAAUACAAAGGGCAGCGAAACCGCGAGGUCAAGCAAAUCCCAUAAAGUUGUUCUCAGUUCGGAUUGUAGUCUGCAACUCGACUACAUGAAGCUGGAAUCGCUAGUAAUCGUAGAUCAGCAUGCUACGGUGAAUACGUUCCCGGGUCUUGUACACACCGCCCGUCACACCACGAGAGUUUGUAACACCCGAAGCCGGUGGAGUAACCUUUUAGGAGCUAGCCGUCGAA
rnacentral:rRNA from 1 species